AUCGAUAAUNCACGAUAANUUUCACUUUAAUGAAUAAUUUAUAUACCGCCAUCUAAAGAACCAGUCUCCAAAACUUUUCUCAAAUCAAAACAAGUUAGGUCAAGGUGUAAUCUAUACUAAAGAAAAGAUGAAUUACAUUUAAUAAUAUUAAAAGAUUAUAAGUAAAAUACCUCUAUAAAUAAGAAUUUAAAAGCAAUAUUAUAAUAAUAAUUCAAUAUGAUAUAAAUAAUAAAUGUGCACACAUCGCCC
rnacentral:rRNA from 1 species